ACUCCAAGCGCUCUAGAUAAAUAAAGUAACAACAUCAAAACUGUUUGUUAUCAAAAACCAAAAAGUUUAUAUCAACAUAUUAUGUAUCUGACUUAAACCGUCCUAAUACUUUUGGUUAAUAUUGAAAUUUAAGUCAGUUUUAUCAUCAAAGCGGACUUUUAUUGGUCAAUUUGGCUUGCAGCGUGUCAGGUUUUCUAUUUAUUCAAGUAUUUAUACAGAUAAUUCACGGUCAGAUGAAAUAAAUCACAAGUACCUCCUUUGUACGUCAUUAACCCGAUAGGUUAUAAACAUUUUAGAAAGUGGAAAUCGGAUCAGUACCAGUAGAUGUUUUUGUAAUCAACAGAUCGCUUUUGUACAAAAUACUUAAACAAUAGCUAAGUUCAUGUUCUGGAACUGAUUGCGUUACGCCCUUAAUUGACUGGAGCCGUUAUAAAAAUUCUAACAGUUUAUAUGCAUGGUUUGGGAAUAAAUGCAAUUUCCAGCGCAACAGAAAGCGAAAUGAACAUAGUAGCCAACGACGUCCAAGAAAAGCAAAUAGAAAUAGAAUCGAGUACGCCAAGAAGGAGGAAACUUGCAGUUCGCUCAUCACAACAAUGGCAUGAUUUUUGACGCUAACUGGCAAUACCCACCAAAUUCAACGUCUAGACAGCGUGUCCGAAACGGUACCGGAUCGUACCGUGUCACUGGACAGAAAAAGACGAAAAAUGAAAAUGAAAAACGCAACUCCGCGGUGUGGGAACACUCUGUACUUCAGCAAAUUCAAAGUCUAAUGAGAAACGUACAAGUUUCAGAAAGCCUUGCAGACUAUAUUAAUAAAGAAAUUCUGAAUGGUACAGACAUAAAUGCAAAUGUGGGACACAGGACCCGAAGAAAAAGUUGCUUCAGUUUUAACAAUGAAACACACUCUCAAACUUCAAGACGACAGUCCGUGGCAAAUCUUUAUCAGAAUAAAUCAAAGUCCUUGCCGAGGACCAACAUCAACAAUGGCGCACUAAAUGAUGCACUAAAAGGAAGGCGAAGUAGUGUGGUGCAUAGCAACGGUCCGCCGAAUCAGCAAUGCCGGUCAAAGUCAAGGGCCGCAGAGGUAGUGUAGUCAAUCAGCAUGGUGGAAGAAGGUGCAGUGUUGUUCAUUCUAAUGUUCAAAUUACCAGUUCCAGUAGCCGGAGAAAUAGCGUGGCCCACUCAAGCAGGCGUCGAAGCAGUUUAGCACAUGCAUAUCAACACAGUGCAAUGUCCAGUUUACGUAGAAUGAGUAGCGUAAAUGAUAAUUUUGUGGAAAGUGCCAAUCAACGCUGUUCCUCAAGCGACGUAGAAGCAGUGUAAAACCACCGUGUUUUCCGGUAACGAAAAUCUCCAGCGUUCAGAAGCGUCUUCAUAGAAUUUACAACAGAAGACGCAGACGACAAGACCGAGCGGAAGUGAAGAUGUCUGAUGUAAGACGCGCUUUUAAAGGGCUUAAGAAUGAGAACUAUGCAGAAACAAGUGAAAGCGAUGACAAUGCAACAAAUAACAAUGAAUGUUCUAGCGGAAGUGAACAAACAGUAUUAGACGAGGACGGUGAUGUGUGUAAAGAGCAAACUAUUUCCCCAAUAGUGGCAAAGGAAACCGAGUCAGAAUUAAACGCAGUAAAUGCUAAAGGGGACAUUGUUGGUGAAUGUGUAAUAGAUAAUGUUGAUGAAGCAAAACCUAAUCCGAGAAGAAAAACGAGCAUACAAGUCAGAUCUUGGGAACUCUCUCGUAAACUAAGGCAAAGACGUAGAGAAAAGAGGAAAGGUUUUACAGAAAGUGAUUUGAUCUGAUUUCAUUUUAUAGGGAGGCAUCUUAAUACGUAUGAGAAUGUAUGCAUAUUAAAUAAGAUAUAGAGAUACAGUAUAUGACAUUGAGCAAAGGGUAACAAUUUAAAAAAUGUCAACAUAACUUUAUUUGUGCUGCGAAAAUGUCUUGACCUGUGUUCACAAAUAUACUUUUUCUUGCACUGUAUUUAAAGAAAAGACUUUUAAUUUUUACAAUAAAUAUUUUAUUUACAUUUCUUAAGAUAUCGAAAUCUGUGAAAUAAAAAUAAACAGCACAUGUAAAGUCGUAGUUAUUGUAAACGCGAAAUUCAAAUAAAUGUUUAACAAAAUAUUCUAUAUUUAACUAUUGGAUUAUCAUAAGAUUU
rnacentral:lncRNA from 1 species